rnacentral:rRNA from 1 species
UACGGAGGGUGCAAGCGUUGUCCGGAAUCACUGGGCGUAAAGGGCGCGUAGGCGGCUCGGUAGGUAGGGGGUGAAAUCCUGCGGCUUAACCGCAGGGCUGCCUUCUAAACUGUCGAGCUCGAGCACGGUAGAGGCAGAUGGAAUUCCCGGUGUAGCGGUGGAAUGCGUAGAGAUCGGGAAGAACAUCAGUGGCGAAGGCGGUCUGCUGGGCCGUUGCUGACGCUGAGGCGCGACAGCGUGGGGAGCAAACAGG